GUCGAACGGUAACAGGUCUUCGGAUGCUGACGAGUGGCGAACGGGUGAGUAAUACAUCGGAACGUGCCCGAUCGUGGGGGAUAACGAGGCGAAAGCUUUGCUAAUACCGCAUACGAUCUACGGAUGAAAGCGGGGGAUCUUCGGACCUCGCGCGGACGGAGCGGCCGAUGGCAGAUUAGGUAGUUGGUGGGAUAAAAGCUUACCAAGCCGACGAUCUGUAGCUGGUCUGAGAGGAUGAUCAGCCACACUGGGACUGAGACACGGCCCAGACUCCUACGGGAGGCAGCAGUGGGGAAUUUUGGACAAUGGGCGAAAGCCUGAUCCAGCCAUGCCGCGUGCAGGAUGAAGGCCUUCGGGUUGUAAACUGCUUUUGUACGGAACGAAAAGCCUCUUUCUAAUAAAGAGGGGUCAUGACGGUACCGUAAGAAUAAGCACCGGCUAACUACGUGCCAGCAGCCGCGGUAAUACGUAGGGUGCAAGCGUUAAUCGGAAUUACUGGGCGUAAAGCGUGCGCAGGCGGUUUUGUAAGACAGAGGUGAAAUCCCCGGGCUCAACCUGGGAACUGCCUUUGUGACUGCAAGGCUGGAGUGCGGCAGAGGGGGAUGGAAUUCCGCGUGUAGCAGUGAAAUGCGUAGAUAUGCGGAGGAACACCGAUGGCGAAGGCAAUCCCCUGGGCCUGCACUGACGCUCAUGCACGA
rnacentral:rRNA from 1 species